UAUCAUACAUAUUUCCACAUUUCCUUCUAGGCAUUACAUACAUGGGUUGAAAUGUGGGAGAAAAGAAGACAAGAAAGAAGUCUCUUUAAUAGUGAUAUGUCUUCAAUGCAGUGAUGGGGCUACUGGAUCUGGGUGCAAAGAUCUGGAAGACAGCUUGAUGGCAGCAAGGAAGACAUACACAGCUCUAAUGCUCUGCUAUCAUCAUGCAUGAUUUGGAGCAAAGGAAGAAUGUUCAUACUAACAGUGAAAAAAUACACAUUUUCCCCAUCUGGAUUUACAGCCUUCUGUUGAGGCAACUGGCCAGGAGGAUUCCAGACUCUGAAAA